rnacentral:rRNA from 1 species
CCUUUGUACACACCGCCCGUCGCUACUACCGAUUGAAUGGCUUAGUGAGGCCUCCAGAUUGGCUAUUGGGAGCUCGCGAGAGCACCUGACUGCCGAGAAGUUGUACGAACUUGGUCAUUUAGAGG